CUUCACUUCUUGUUUUUCUGUUAUAUUGCCUCUCUCUCUUUCCCCUCCUCUUGCUUUCUCUCCAUCACUUUAUUUCUAUUUUAGAAUUUUUCUUUUCAUGUGAUACUUUUGGUAUAGAGCUAGAGCACAAAUUGUGAAAUUGUUGUUGUGUUGCUGUUUGAUUGAGAUGAAGCUUUGAUUGAACUAUAAUUCCCAUACUUUUUGGGAGGGUAAUUCAACCUCCUAAUUAAGAUAAAAAGCUUAAUAAAAGUGAUGCACACAACCUGCUCGAUAAAUUGCCUGAGAGAGAAAUUAGUUCGCUAGUGAAGUCUGGGUAACCAAGCGACAUUAAGAGAUGUGUUGAAGUAUGUUUUGGGUGUGGUUCGGGUAUAAGAGGGAGUUUUGCUGUGUUUGGUGAAAAAAAUAAAUGAAAAAGUGGUCUACAUUGGAGAGAAAGUGAGUUUACUGUGAUUUUUAAACGGAUAUUUCCAUGAGUGGAUGUUCUUGAUUAGUUGCUUGUUGAAAUUUAUUCCUCUCACUUCAGUGUUUGAUUUACUGAGCAUAUGUUUAGUCAUUUGGCGAUUUAUUGAACCUGAAUGAAUGGAAUAUAUUGGUGGUUACUGAUAUUGCUUGAACGAAAUUUUGGUGUUGUUCCCAUUGCUACUUUUAGCAAGUGCACUUAGUUGUGUGAAUAUGUAUGCUUGAUUGAAGAGACGAUAGAAACUUGGCUUGGAUAAUAAUUUUCAAAGUUGUCUCAGGGAUAUCAUAACUGGCAGAAAAUUAACAUAGUCAAUGGGGCUUCCUUUUCAAAUUUUAAAAUUACUUUGGCCUUGAAGAGGCACAAUACAUUGUUUUAAUUGCUGAUACCGUGCUCUUACAUUUUAAUAUCUUUUUCAAAUGCCCUGUGACACAAAAUGGCUUCAAGUUAACCAGGAACAACCCAAGGAGAAGUGGAAGAGUUUUCCUCUUUAUGCUCUAGCGCAAUGGCACCAUCUUCUCAGGGAGUCCCUCCUAAUUUUUGCUUUAAUUAUUUAGUUGCGUUGCGGACAAUACAACCUUUUUAGUUGGGGGGUUUAUGUGAUUUAGAAGUGAUCGGAAAAGAAACCAAGUGAAAACAAGUCAAAAGAGGCCAAAUUGAAGAAAACGGAAAAAGUGGCUAAAAAUGCAAUUUCGGGUCAGAUUUGCAAAAACUGAAAGUUGGGGGCUGUUUUUGUCAUUGUUUAGUUGGGAAAUUUGGGAAUUAUAAAAGUGAAGCUUGGGGCAAAAUAUUUUCAUCUUUGGCACAAAACAUAAUUCUUGGAGGCUAAGGUUCUUACACCACACUUUGGGGUUUGAAGAUUUGGUUGAACACUUUCUUAAACCUUUACUUCAUUUUUUUGAUUUUUUGUUUUAUAAUGAAUAUCUAAGUGUGUAGUAUUUAACUUCUUCACUUGAAUCUUGUCUAUAGAAAUAUUUUAUGAUUAAAGUGUUGGAUGAAAUUCUUGUUUUGCUUAUGUAUUGAAUAAUUUUUAUUGCUAA